rnacentral:rRNA from 1 species
AUGGCUAAUUGUCUUGAGAUACCCAUACCUGAAAGUGAUAUGGAAUUGCCUCCCGCUUAUCUAGAUUACGAGAGGAACGAACAACCUCUCCAGUACCGACUAAUGUUUGACAGGCGCCGCAUUUUCCAUGUUGCUCUCCCUGCUCCUACUUUCUUUGACUUUCAGACAAAAGGGAGACAUAUUAUAACCAGGGAGGAGGCGAACGAGUAUAAGAGGAGGACAGAGACAGCUCGCCUCCAAGCGGCAGCUCAUGAGGCAAUAGCUGCUGCAUCACAGUACAACCCCAAUUACAACUUUGGAUAUCCGCCGGGCCAGCCGUGGCCAUAG